UCAGGAUGCACUUCAGCUGAAACCAUUCCAGUCUCUGCUCUGUCAUGGCUGCCAUCUCCCCGGGGAAAGAAGAGAGAGAGAGAGAGAGAGAGAGAGAAGAAGAAACUGCAGAUAAACAAACAUUGCUCUCAUGAUGGGUGAUGCUGUGUUCAAAGUACAAAGCAAAGGAAUAUACAAGGAAAGGGUUUUUUUAAAAAGUCAACUGCAACCCUAGUUCUGUGUGCUAGUCUGGCAUUCUGUUCUGGGAUGUGUGCUACGAAGGGCACAACUAAAGAACACCAAAUGGACAUGCCUGCCCUUGCAGGGAAAAAAAAACUCUUUCUCUCUGAUUGCUGGAUGCAAGUCACAAGUCAGCAAAGCCACACUCGAAAAGGAAACAAGUCAACUCCUUUCAGCGAACCUGCAGAACAAAGAAUCUCCAACCCAACUGCUCAACUGCCAAAGUCAGCACUACCGAAGCCACCCCAACUUAAUGGCUGCAAUGUUUUGGCAUUUACUCCUCACAGACAAACCAAAGGACUCAUUCAUAUAUCUUUAUUUAAAACUUUUAGUUUUGAGUCAAUUUCUGAUUUCUAAUCUGUUUGUAUGUGUCUUGUCUUUUUAUCAUUUUUCCUUGCAUUUAGUAACUAAUAAACUCACUCUUUCUUUGA